rnacentral:rRNA from 1 species
AUUGAACGCUGGCGGCGUGCUUAACACAUGCAAGUCGAGCGGUAACAGGUGUAGCAAUACAUGCUGACGAGCGGCGAACGGGUGAGUAAUGCCUCGGAAUCUUCCUAGUAGUGGGGAAUAACCUGGGGAAACUCAGGCUAAUACCGCAUACGAACUACGGUUGAAAGCAGGGGAUCGCAAGACCUUGCGCUAUUAGAUGAGCCGAAGUCGGAUUAGCUAGUUGGUGAGGUAACGGCUCACCAAGGCGACGAUCCAUAGCUGGUCUGAGAGGAGGACCAGCCACACUGGGACUGAGACACGGCCCAGACUCCUACGGGAGGAAGCAGUGGGGAAUAUUGGACAAUGGGGGCAACCCUGAUCCAGCGACGCCGCGUGUGUGAAGAAGGCCUGCGGGUUGUAAAGCACUUUUAGUGGGGACAAAAAGCCGAGGGCUAAUACUCUUCGGUCUUGAUUUAACCCAAAGAAAAAGCACCGGCUAACUCUGUGCCAGCCGCCGCCGUAAGAC